UCUUUAAAUUUUCUCCCACCUGUUGCCUUUCUAUCCAUUCUGUAUAUAAAACACAGAUAUAUAAAUACUGACAAAUAUUAUAUAGAAUGUAUGACACGUAAAAAUACAAAGAAAAUUUUAUGUUGAAAUUCGACGCAAAUUUUAAAAUUAUCUAGAGUGGCAUUUAAACUGUUGAAGACGUUUUGAAUCGCUAAGAUAAUUUCAUCAACUUCAGCAGGACUGCUGAAGUUCGUCCGCUCGAUGAUAUUUUGUUUGUGUGACGUUUGACAAAAUAAACGCCGCGGCGAGACGUAAUGAUCGAAAUAGCGCGACGUGACAUCACGAAAACAUCGUUCUCGAGAUAAUAUUGUGCGGGAGGCGGCGGCAGGCCACUCAAUAGGGGGUGGGUCAUGUACGCUGCCGUGAACCGCUUUUUGUCGCGUGGAUUCGCUCGCCUUCGCGGAUCGAGUAGGUUUUCGACAUCGGCCAAGAAGAGCCCGGACGCGGCAUUGGCGGCGGAGAUCGCGGGCAUUGCGGCAUGCAAAGGGUCUUUGAAAGACGAAACGGUUGUACCGAGAUUACAAAUUGUACGCGUGUAUCGAUGGAAUCCGGAAACGCCGGAAGUAAAGCCAUACAUGCAGCAGUUCAGCGUAGAUUUAAACAAGUGCGGCACGAUGGUGUUGGACGUCUUGAUACACAUCAAGGCGCAGCACGAUCCGACGUUGUCCUUUCGGAAGUCUUGUCGCGAGGGCAUCUGUGGAUGUUGUGCGAUGAACAUAGACGGCGUAAACACCCUGGCUUGUAUAACAAAGGCAAAAGAAUCUCCGGAGCCGUUGGUGAUCUACCCUUUACCGCACGCAUAUGUGAUUCGAGACUUGAUACCGGAUUUGGAGCAGUUCUUUGAACAAUUCCGGAAAAUCGAUCCAUAUCUAAAGCGACCAGGUGAGGACGAUUUUCUCGGUAUGCGACAAAUUCUGCAGAGUCCAAGGGACAGAAGUAAGCUUGACGGCUUGUACGAGUGUAUAAUGUGUGCGUGUUGCACGUAUUCGUGUCCUCCUUAUUGGUGGCUCGGCGACAAGUACUUAGGGCCUGCGGUAUUACUGCAGGCAUACAGGUGGGUAAUAGACUCGCGAGACAUGGCACAUAAAGAGCGGUUAGCAAAGCUCCGGGACUUCUAUUCAGUUUAUCGAUGCCAGUCGAUCUUUAAUUGUACCAAGACGUGUCCAAAGGGUCUAAAUCCAGGAAAAGCAAUAGCGCAACUAAAAUGUUUGCUGGCUGGACUUGCAAAGAAAGAGAAACCAGACCUCGACACACCACUUCCGAAUACCUGUAAUGGUGAAGAGCAAUAUCUAUGCAGAAGGGAAUAAAAAAAUAGGACGAUACAGUUCGCGAGACAUUCUUCUUUAUUGUAUAAUGUCCAUCACUUUGAAUAAAGAACUUCAUAUAAUUGAGCACUAGGGUGCUUUUGUUAUAUAACAGCAUUGCUAUGUUCUUCAAACAUCAACUCCCAAUCAAGAAUUAUCAUUAAUCGUCAAGGAUCAUAAAGUUGAUAAAUUGGCACUUAAUAUCGAUCAACAACCUUUGCAGUGCGUGUUACUUACAUUACAUAGUAUAGUAAUAAGUAUUCUAUGUUGUAAAUUAAAUCACAAAUUCUUAUUAUACUUAUUAAAUUGUCAGUCAAAAAAUAAAAGUAUAUCCGAGUA
rnacentral:misc_RNA from 1 species